UGAGGAAUAUUGCACAAUGGGCGCAAGCCUGAUGCAGCGACGCCGCGUGUGGGAUGAAGGGGCUACGCCUCGUAAACCACUGUAGCCCGGGACGAAAAACGCCUUAGAUGCGUUAGACGGUACCGGGAAAGUAAGGGUCGGCUAACUACGUGCCAGCAGCCGCGGUAAUACGUAGGACCCAAGCGGUGUCCGGAUUUACUGGGUGUAAAGGGUGCGCAGGCGGAUGGGUAAGUCAGGGGUGAAAGUCUGCAGCUUAACUGUAGAAUUGCCUUUGAUACUGCUCAUCUUGAGUGUGGGAGAGGUUGAUGGAAUUCCAGGUGUAGCAGUGAAAUGCGUAGAUAUCUGGAAGAACACCAGUGGCGAAGGCGGUCAACUGGCCCAUAACUGACGCUCAUGCACGAAAGCGUGGGGAGCAAACA
rnacentral:rRNA from 1 species